rnacentral:tRNA from 1 species
UUCGUCUAGAGGCCUAGGACACCGCCCUUUCACGGCGGUAACAGGGGUUCGAAUCCCCUAGGGGAUGCCA